ACCUCACAUACCUCCUUCAACUAUGCAACAAUCAGGGUGUGCAAUGUUACACGAGGGGAGCUACAAGUGUGCAGUGCCAGGCACACACACAGCCUUCACUUCUGGCUCAAGCUCACACCCGACCAGGCCAGCUCCUAGCCCACAUUUCUUUGGUUGCUGCCGGAGGAGCCAAAAGACCCAAAAGCUGGAGGCCGCGGCAGCGAUUCAGCAGCCACCCAGAAGUGGGAACCGGACCUGGGACUCGGUCACAGAAGCCCAGAACGAUCCCAAGCAGCUGUUGAAGUGUCUUUGAAGAUCAGCCUAAGUGUUAAGCCUGGCUUCUUUGCUGUCCAACCUCGAGUAAGUUCAUUAAGUUUUAGGAUCUUGCAAUUUCCUUGCCCAUAUUACAGGGCCAACCUGUAAUUAACCUGGAUUAAGGGGAUUUAGAAGAUAACUCAGGUAAAAGAGCUUGGCUCUUCACAGAUGCUCCAGGAAUGGCACAGAGCACCCCAAGGUGUUGUGGCCUGGGUUUUCCACCCUCAGGACUUGCUGGGGCCCUCAGGGUGGGUCCUACAAAUCUCAGGGCAUCUACCCUCUGCACCUCAUUCCCAGACCCUCAAUUUCUGGAGGGAAGUUGAGGGGCAGCUUUCCCUUACCCUUGGCCUAGGGAAUCUCAGGAUCACAUGCAAUUACCCUGCUGUCAGGUGGCCACACCUGAUUGCACAGACUGGGGAGGCCUG
rnacentral:lncRNA from 1 species